GGGGAGCUGGCGCAACGGUAGCGCGUCAGAUUCCAGUCCUGAAGGCUAUCGGUUCAAAUCCGGUGUUCCUCA
rnacentral:tRNA from 4 species